CAUCAGCGAAAGGAGGAUUGGCUGCAUCCAAAGCCAGUCCGGAUGCAAAAGAGGGCCCCGGCCUCGGUCGGGUGGGGUGCACGGGAGCGCGGUGGGAGGUUGGGGGGGCAAGAGGCGUGGGGAGGCUUUGGAGGGGGGCCACCUUCUGCAGUUGUCACCGCGUCAGCUCUGGGCAUCUGCCAGAGCACCCCUCCAGGCAACUUCUUCCCACAGCCCCCUCUGAUGGACCCCAACUCUCCCCACGCCUCGCCCGUCCAGCGGGGCACAAAGAAAUCCCAGUCUCUUCGUAAACUUUGUGCUUCCAGUUAUGCCGCCCCCUCCCCUAGCCUCCACCCCCGCCCUUCCCGCUUCUUGGCAGGAAGGUUAGGCCCCUGGCAAAAUCCUCGGCGUGAGGCAGCUGAUCACAAAUGCCAACUGUGUGUCUUGGGGCCAGUUAAGCCCUCUCCUCUGCCCGGGCUCUCUAGAGACCAUUUCAAUGCUCUCAAGGUUCCCAGGAGACCGCUGCGGAUGUGGACCAUCCCCCACUUAGCCCGCACGGAUGGGAUGCUGAGCGGUGUCCUCAAAGUGCUCUCUCUCACCUCGAGUUUUCAUUUCUAGAUUGUAAAAAUUCCGAAUUUGGAAACAGGCAGAUAUUUUUUCCUCAUAUCAAAAAGGAGGACCAUAAACUAGGUGAUUAGCCCUAGGUGGGAAAUGAACCGUCUCUAAUCAGAAUACUAACUUCUUGAGGAAGUCGGUGGAAGUUCUGAAGUCCCUCCCCAUCCCAUGACCUCUAAUUCUUUUUAGUUCUUCUGCCACAGGGAAGCAGCCAGCGACUAAUAAAAGAUUUGAUCUUGCCAUAAUUUCCCAAGCAGACUCAUUGAUUUCAUCUCUACAUAAUGGUUCAUUUUGAAAACUUUCGGCUUUCAAAGACAAAUCAUUGAAGAAUCACAUAUCUAGGUUUGGCUGUGUAAUGUAGUUCAGUCCAAUAGAAUGCAAACAGAGAUCUACUGGAUGCGGCUAAAGAACCUGAAAUGAUUUUGCUCAAAAGCCACAAGGCAUCUUUUUUCUUGGCCUACCCCCUUGCUCAUUUCUGGAAUGGGAUAUGAUGCUUGGAUACAGAAGAGCCAUCUUGUAAUCAUAAAAAGAAAACCUGAACAGGAUGGAACAUAGUUGGAAAAGAGGAGCCAAUUCUGAUGACUUCCUUUAACAGUAUAUCAGUCCCAAACUGACUCUGGAAUUCUUACUCUGCAAGAAGGAAAAACACCUGUUUUGUUAAGCACUAUAUUUAGGUACUUACGUACAGCCAAAGGCAAUACUAACUACUACACAAGGGACCUUCUGGGCAAGGUGGUGCUCUUUUUUUUUUUUUUUUUUUUUACCUUUUGAGACCAUGGUUUUAUGGAGAUUGUUUUCUCAUUAAGCUUUAUACUUUCAGUAGAUUUCUAUCCUUGUUUCACACUUUAGAAGUUAUUUAAUUAUCUACAAAUAAUCUCAAUGACUUCUUUUCAUCCUCCUUACCUUUAAGGUUUAUUCCUUUUUUAUUCCUAUAUUUUCUACUUGGAGAAAAGGGAAACAACAGUAAUACCUAUCCUGGGGACUGGGAACUUCAAUUUUUGCAGGGGCUAUGGGCAAGGUAAAAAAAAAAAAAAGAAGUAUCCAGAUGUAAGAUACAGGUGAUGAUUAUGGAGACAUCAAGAGCACAUGUCCCUGUUAAAGGUUUUUAAAUACAAAUAAAAUAGAUAUAAUGCCACUCAAAGAAUAUAGGCCUAUAGGAGCCCAAUCUAUCUGCUAAAACUCUGCAGAUUCUGAUUUUAAGACAUAAUACAUGUGAAAUAACUGUCAAACUUACUCAACUGCAAUGUACCUCCUCACCAAAACACAAAUAUUAAUAAUAACAACAAAUAUACAAUUGAGACCUUUUAAAAUUGAAAGUGUAUUUAUCUAAAAUACUUCCAUUUAUUUUCUUCUGAAUUGAAAUUGUUUUUCCCCUUUUUGGUUUUUGACUGUUACAGAAGACAAUACAGUAGCUAAUAUCAUACUCAAUAGACAAAGGAAACAAACAAAAAUCCUCUCUGUGGGGGUUGUUAUGGCUUUGGAAGAAAACCAACUAUAAGCAAAAAUGUAAGAUAGAAAAAUAUGUGUUUCCCACCCCCAUCCUUCCUCAGUUUCUUUUCUCUUCCUGCCUUAAUACAUGUGUUGAGGAGUUGCAUUAUAAUAAUGGCUUAUAACACACUUUAAAACCCCAAUUAACCAGGUUCAGAAUGGAAAAUUGUACUUUCUAAGCUCACAGAGUAACUGGAGAUGCUGGAAUUCUACCCAUGCACUGUCUAAUAAGAAAAUUGAUGGAGUUUUCCUUAUGCUUAUUAGAGUUCCUCUGAUAGUGGGCAAUUACAAAAUUUGGACUCUCAAACAAAUGGACAGCAAACUGGACUGAUAAUCAGGAAAACAAGGGUUUAAGCUAGACUCAUCAACUUGGAGAAUUGUAUUCAUCAUUCACAUUGGUAAUCAUUUAUUUUCACAUUCUAAAUUUGAUGCCUCUAUAAUUCUAAUGUUAGCUUUAAGUACUAUGCCACUCAGACCGUGAGUCUCUAAAUAGUAGGAACUUUGUCUAACAUCUUGAAAAUGUUCUUUAUAAUGUCAACAAUUUGUCAAAUUUUACAUGUAUUUUCCUUAUUGCUUUUUUGGUCUCUAAUAUGCUGUGGAACUCUAUACAGGAAAGGCCCAAGUAAUCAUGGUUUGGAGCAAGUUUCAUCAAGAGGCUCUAAUCUAGAUGUCUGUAUAAAGAGAAUGUGAACUUAUGUCUUUGCCACUUGUGGGAAAUAGAGCCCUAGCUUAAUGUAGUACAGAGUCCUGCCUUAGGAUUUUCAUAAGAUAGAUAGAUAGAUGCCUAUUAGAAUAUUUGGCAGAAGGACGUUUUGAAAUAUUUUGGGUCAAUGAAAUUUAGUCCAGGACUACAGACUAAAUGGUUUUUAUAUAUGUGGCUACAAAAUUUCAUUUAAAUAUUCCUUUGGUAAUAAGAAAUUUGAACUCCCAAAGGCCAACAUAAAUGUGACUAAUAAUAAUUUGUGUCUAUAUUCUAAAGCCAGAUUUUGACUUAACUUUCAAGCUCCCUUUUCCUGUAAAAAAUCUGUUCUGUCACAUUGCCACACAACAUCCUGUUACUCUAUUUUCCUAAGCUGGCAGGAAAUGGUCCACUAUUGAUGUCUGUAAUGGGGAAAUACUUCUCACCAAUCUCAUCUUCUUUGAUCAAAACUUAACCUCAACAACAUGAACCACUUAGAUGAGACUAUCUGGAAAUAUUGAGUAGGAUCCUGUUUGUUUAAAGGAUGAGGCAAAAAUCUCUGUUCCAAUGAAACAUAACAAAAUUCAGACUUUCAUAUUUAAGAUACAUUGCAGUGUUUGAAUUCUCAUCAGUUAGUUAAUACAUUUAUAUAUUGUGUGUCUGCUAUGUACCUAGCCAUUCUUCCCAGGACUAGCUUUGUUGCCUAGAAAGCUAACCAAAAAAUUGAUCUGGUUACAGUCUAUUGUUUUCUUACUACAAUGGGUGAAAUGCUACAAAAUAGCAAAUUAAAUUAAAAGCAAAUAAAAUAGCAAAUUAAAUUAAAAGCAAAUAAUUUUGCAAUGUUUGUAAUGUUUACUAUUACAAUUACAGUUUUACAUUUUUGUAAGUAGAUGAACUGAGAACACGGAAAGUUGUAACAAAUAAGAAAAGGGAGAUUAAUUUUGGAUUUUCAAGAUUAGGAAGGCAAUGCUGGUUGAGCUACAAGUAGGAUUUUGACAUACAAUUUACUCCUUCAUUCAUUCAUUCAUUAC